GACGAACGCUGGCGGCGUGCUUAACACAUGCAAGUCGAACGGAAAGGCCCUGCUUUUGUGGGGUGCUCGAGUGGCGAACGGGUGAGUAACACGUGAGUAACCUGCCCUUGACUUUGGGAUAACUUCAGGAAACUGGGGCUAAUACCGGAUAGGAGCUCCUGCUGCAUGGUGGGGGUUGGAAAGUUUCGGCGGUUGGGGAUGGACUCGCGGCUUAUCCGCUUGUUGGUGGGGUAGUGGCUUACCAAGGCUUUGACGGGUAGCCGGCCUGAGAGGGUGACCGGCCACAUUGGGACUGAGAUACGGCCCAGACUCCUACGGGAGGCAGCAGUGGGGAAUAUUGCACAAUGGGCGGAAGCCUGAUGCAGCAACGCCGCGUGCGGGAUGACGGCCUUCGGGUUGUAAACCGCUUUCGACUGUGACGAAGCGUGAGUGACGGUAAUGGGUAAAGAAGCACCGGCUAACUACGUG
rnacentral:rRNA from 1 species